AUUGAACGCUGGCGGCAUGCCUUACACAUGCAAGUCGAACGGCAGCACGGGGCAACCUGGUGGCGAGUGGCGAACGGGUGAGUAAUGCAUCGGAACGUGCCAUUGAGUGGGGGAUAACGUAGCGAAAGUUGCGCUAAUACCGCAUAUUCUGUGAGCAGGAAAGCAGGGGACCGCAAGGCCUUGCGCUCUUUGAGCGGCCGAUGUCAGAUUAGCUAGUUGGUGAGGUAACGGCUUACCAAGGCGACGAUCUGUAGCGGGUCUGAGAGGAUGAUCCGCCACACUGGAACUGAGACACGGUCCAGACUCCUACGGGAGGCAGCAGUGGGGAAUUUUGGACAAUGGGCGCAAGCCUGAUCCAGCCAUGCCGCGUGGGUGAAGAAGGCCUUCGGUUGUAAGCUCUGUCUGGAGGGACGAAGGAAGUAGACGGUACCUCCGGAGGAAGCCACGGCGUAACUACGUGCCAGCAGCCGCGGUAAGCUACG
rnacentral:rRNA from 1 species